rnacentral:rRNA from 1 species
GCAAGUCGAGCGAGAAGCCCUUCGGGGUGGACAGCGGCGCACGGGUGAGGAACACGUAGGUAAUCUACCCUCGAGUGGUGGAUAACGUCUCGAAAGGGGCGCUAAUACAGCAUAACACCACGGCCCUUCGGGGUUUUGGCCAAAGUGGGGGAUCUUCGGACCUCACGCUUGAGGAUGAGCCUGCGGCCCAUCAGUUAGUUGGUAGUGUAAAGGACUACCAAGGCAAAGACGGGUAGCUGGUCUGAGAGGAUGGAC